UGGCUCAGAGGGUAGAGUGUCUGCCUGCAAUGCGGGAAACCCAGGUUCGAUCCCUGG
rnacentral:tRNA from 1 species